UAAAAAUUCUAGCUUCAGAAAAAGCAAACAC
rnacentral:piRNA from 1 species